CACGUGUUUCCGUUUCAACGAAAACAACACAGCUUCACUGUCACAGCAAAGGCUUGUUUUAUACAUCUUUAAAACGACCUGAUGUCAGAAGAAGAUACCCUGGAAUUCCUGUUGCAGGAUGACCCAAACGAUCAUGCAUUCAGUAUAAACAUGAACAUGAUGUUGUCCACUAAGCUAAUGGUGGGGAUCGUAGCACUACCCUGCACACAGACAUGGAAUGAAUCUGCCUAGUCCAUUAUCAGAAGAGUGACCGGGACUGUUUGUCCCAUCAGAGAAGUUUCUCGAGAAGCAUGACAAGGGACUUGUAUGAAUGGGCAGAAGAAAUUUUCUUAACUGACUAUCCCAUCAUUGCCUGCUGUUGGAGACUGAACACUUUAUUGAAAA